rnacentral:tRNA from 1 species
GGCGCGGUGGCCGAGGGGUUAGGCGGCGGCCUGCAAAGCCGUGUACACCGGUUCGAAUCCGGUCCGCGCCU